rnacentral:rRNA from 1 species
UACGUAGGGUGCGAGCGUUGUCCGGAAUUAUUGGGCGUAAAGGGCUCGUAGGCGGUUUGUCGCGUCGGGAGUGAAAACCUCGGGCUUAACUCGGGGCUUGCUUUCGAUACGGGCAGACUGGAGGUAUGCAGGGGAGAACGGAAUUCCUGGUGUAGCGGUGAAAUGCGCAGAUAUCAGGAGGAACACCGGUGGCGAAGGCGGUUCUCUGGGCAUGACCUGACGCUGAGGUGCGAAAGCGUGGGGAGCAAACAGG